AAUAGAUACCCUGGUAGUCCACGCCGUAAACGUUGGGCGCUAGAUGUGGGGACCAUUCCACGGUUUCCGCGUCGUAGCUAACGCAUUAAGCGCCCCGCCUGGGGAGUACGGCCGCAAGGCUAAAACUCAAAGGAAUUGACGGGGGCCCGCACAAGCGGCGGAGCAUGCGGAUUAAUUCGAUGCAACGCGAAGAACCUUACCAAGGCUUGACAUAUGCGAGAACGCUCUAGAAAUAGAGAACUCUUUGGACACUCGUAUACAGGUGGUGCAUGGUUGUCGUCAGCUCGUGUCGUGAGAUGUUGGGUUAAGUCCCGCAACGAGCGCAACCCUCGUCGCAUGUUGCCAGCACGUAAUGGUGGGAACUCAUGUGAGACUGCCGGGGUCAACUCGGAGGAAGGUGGGGAUGACGUCAAAUCAUCAUGCCCCUUAUGUCUUGGGCUUCACGCAUGCUACAAUGGCCGGUACAAAGGGCUGCGAAACCGCAAGGUGGAGCGAAUCCCAAAAGCCGGUCUCAGUUCGGA
rnacentral:rRNA from 1 species